UUUAAAGAAAGCGUAAUAGCUCACUAGUCGAGUCGGCCUGCGUGGAAGAUAUAACGGGGCUAAAUCAUAAACCGAAGCUACAGAUCUUAAAUUUAUUUAAGAUGGUAGAAGAGCGUUCUGUAAGCCGUUGAAGGUAAGCUGAGAGGCGAACUGGAGGUAUCAGAAGUGCGAAUGUUGACAUGAGUAACGAUCAAAGAGGUGAAAAACCUCUUCGCCGAAAAACCAAGGGUUCCUGUCCAACGCUAAUCGUGGCAGGGUGAGGCGGCCCCUAAGGCGAGGGCGAAAGCCGUAGUCGAUGGGAAACAGGUUAAUAUUCCUGUACUUUUUAUAACUGCGAUGGGGUGACGGAGAAGGUUAGGCUAGCACGGCGACGGUUGUCCGUGUUCAAGGUUGUAGGCUGGUGUUCUAGGUAAAUCCGGAACGCCAUAUAGGCUGAGGACUGAUAACGACCACUCUACGAGUGGGAAGUAGCUGAUACCAUGCUUCCAGGAAAAACCUCUAAGCUUCAGGUUAUAAGAAACCGUACCCUAAACCGACACAGGUGGUUAGGUCGAGUAGACCAAGGUGUUUGAGAGAACUAUGGUGAAGGAACUAGGCAAAAUAGCACCGUAACUUCGGGAGAAGGUGCGCCGCGAUGGGUUAUAAGACUUGCUCUUAGAAGCUUUUCGCGGUCGAAGAUACCAGGUGGCUGCGACUGUUUACUAAAAACAUAGCACUCUGCAAACUCGUAAGAGGAAGUAUAGGGUGUGACGCCUGCCCGGUGCCGGAAGGUUAAUUGAUGGGGUUAGCUUCGGCGAAGCUCUUGAUCGAAGCCCCGGUAAACGGCGGCCGUAACUAUAACGGUCCUAAGGUAGCGAAAUUCCUUGUCGGGUAAGUUCCGACCUGCACGAAUGGCGUAACGAUGGCCACACUGUCUCCACCAUAGACUCAGUGAAAUUGAAAUCGCUGUUAAGAUGCAGUGUACCCGCAGCUAGACGGAAAGACCCCGUGCACCUUUACUAUAGGUUUACACUGGACUUUGACCUUACUUGUGUAGGAUAGGUGGGAGACUUUGAAGCUGAGACGCCAGUCUUAGUGGAGUCAUCCUUGAAAUACCACCCUUGUAAGAUUGAAGUUCUAACCUAGGUCCAUUAUCUGGAUCAGGGACAGUGCGUGCUGGGUAGUUUGACUGGGGCGGUCUCCUCCUAAAGAGUAACGGAGGAGUACGA
rnacentral:rRNA from 1 species